UGUUAAGUAGAGUUUUAAAUAAGUUUAAUGCGAAAUAUAUAUCUAGUAAACAUUGAAUCAUUUCAAGUUUAUGAAGGAAAUAAAGUGAUACGUCAAUUCGAUGAAUAAAUUGGCUCCUUAAGGCUAUUCUAUAGAACAGUGUGUACUGCAUUUGACGCUUGAAAUACAAAACAUUCAACAUUAAAGGGACUAAAAAGCAACAGUUCUGGUGACAGAAGCCAAGCUGGGGAAAGAGGGUUUGUCGGGCGAACUUUAAUGGAACAAUACUCAAUGUACGUGGAAAGAAGGAUUUGAUAAAUUAAACAGAAGACACAACGAACUUUUGCAAUCGCAACACAGUCGUGUGCCACGAGUGCCCAGAAGUAGAAUUCGGGCGGAUGCAACAACUUCGACAUCUCGUCUCUGAGAACAGCGACUACUAUUAUGACCAAGACUCUCAAGGAUCUGUUGAUGACUACUACAUCGACAGUUACUAGGCAGAGAUGGAUGAAUGCCGUUCUAGCGCUGUAAAAUUAUUACAAAACUAUAUAUAACAUACAACUUGGGUCAUAUCCUGGUAAGAGCCGUUUUAUGAGUAUUUUAAAUGGUCGUUAUCAACAUCGACUGCUGUACAUUAACGAAGUUACGCAUAAAAAUUAAACAGGAAAAUAGCAGAGAAGUCAAUUUAACGUUAAGUAUUUAGGUAAAAUGUAUAAUUAAUUUUUCUUGUGUUCUCACAUGACGAAAUUAAUGUAGAUUGUUGUAAAACAACAAGAGCAGGCCAUUAAUCUUGUUGUUCACUUUACAGACAUUGACGAUAUAUCGUAAUGUAGCAAACUAUUAAUCUAAUACUGUGAAACCAUUAUUAAUCGUCAGGCAUUAAUUUUCAUAAAUUUCGUCAGUCGACCGAUCGGCGAAAUUAAGAUCCUAACGAACAAUCAUGCUCUAUGUUUGAACAAAAACAAACACUAAGUUGAACAAUAUUUUAAAACUUUACCGUAGACAUGAGGCAUUAAAUUCCAACAUAAUCCAUGCACACAUUCACUGCUGUUUCGUAAUCAAGAUU